CUGGAUGAGGGAUAAACACCCGGGUAACCUGCCUGUAAGACUGGGAUAACUCCGGGAAACCGGGGCUAAUACCGGAUAACUCAUUUCCUCGCAUGAGGAAAUGUUGAAAGGUGGCUUCGGCUACCACUUACAGAUGGACCCGCGGCGCAUUAGCUAGUUGGUGAGGUAACGGCUCACCAAGGCAACGAUGCGUAGCCGACCUGAGAGGGUGAUCGGCCACACUGGGACUGAGACACGGCCCAGACUCCUACGGGAGGCAGCAGUAGGGAAUCUUCCGCAAUGGACGAAAGUCUGACGGAGCAACGCCGCGUGAGUGAUGAAGGUUUUCGGAUCGUAAAGCUCUGUUGUUAGGGAAGAACAAGUGCCGUUCGAAUAGGGCGGCACCUUGACGGUACCUAACCAGAAAGCCACGGCUAACUACGUGCCAGCAGCCGCGGUAAUACGUAGGUGGCAAGCGUUGUCCGGAAUUAUUGGGCGUAAAGCGCGCGCAGGUGGUUCCUUAAGUCUGAUGUGAAAGCCCACGGCUCAACCGUGGAGGGUCAUUGGAAACUGGGGAACUUGAGUGCAGAAGAGGAAAGUGGAAUUCCAAGUGUAUCGGUGCAAUGCGUAGAU
rnacentral:rRNA from 1 species